CUCUGGAGGAAGUUAGUUGCCAUGUCAUGAGGAUAGCCAAGCAGCCUAGGGGGAAGUCCACAUGGCAAGGAACUAAGGACUCCUGCCAACAGCCAGCCAGACACAAACUGUGACCUCCCGCCAACAGGCAUGUGAAUGAGCCGUUUUAGAAUCUGACCCUCUAACCAUGUUCAAGCUUUCAAAUGACUGCAACCACUGCUGACAUGCUAAAUGCAGCCACAUGAGAAACCCUGAGGCAGAAAAACCCAGGUAAGCUAUUCUUGAAUUUCUGGCCCACAGGAACUGAGAUAAUAAAUGUUCGUUGUUUAAAUGCAAAAAAGAAAAAAAAAGUACUUUUGACUUUUCCAACUGAGGAAUGAGAUUAACUAUUUUUCAACUGUGGUAUUUAAAUGUAUCUAAGUGAUUUAAGAAGUAAAAUUUUAGGCUCAACAAAUUCUGUCACAAGAUACGGAUGCUGUACUUCUCCAGUCAGUAUUGGCAGUGCCUUCUAAGCACUUUCAUAAAGCUCUGUUGUGGCACUGUUGUAUUAUACAGUAUGCUAACUACUAUUUCACUCAUCUGCCUGCUUUUCCUUGCUGGACUGUGAGCUCCUUGAGGGCAGAGACCAUGGUUCAUUCAUUUUUAUAUCAUCCAUGCCCAGCUGAAGGUCAGACUCAUUAAAGGCUGGAGUGCAUAUGUGAAUAACAUCACAUGCCAAUCAUUCAGGAGUUAUCCAAUAUGCACUGAUGACACCAAGAGCAGUGAAAAUAACCUCAGCAGAAGCUUCCUGAUGACUGGGCUCCAUCAAGGAAUCUUGUUAUGUCGAUCAAUAUGUCUGAGCCCUUUUAUUUACACCAGAAAAUUGUAAUGUGUUACAUCUGCUGGGAUCAAGCCAAUCUUGAAAUCUGAGACGAUCUGAUGUUAUGCAGUCUGCAUUAGCUUUGCAGUUCCAAUAUGGAGACAAAUAUCUAUAUGUCACCAUAAGGAUCAAAAUCCAAAUUGACUGUAUGAUCGUCAUCGGCAUCUUCCAAAGUUGCUUUCAUCAGAACCUAUGUCCCAGCAUUCCAGCCCCACCACUGUCCCUACCAACCCUUUGAAGCUUCUACUUCUGAUUUUUUCCUCCAUCUGGUCUAUCAUCCAUUCUUAUGCCAUUAUUUUCUUCCUUCAAACCUUGUAUUAUUGCAAAAUGAAUUUCACUGGCCUUUUUGCUAUUGUUGAUAUCAGAAUCCAUUUGAUGCAGUACUCACCAAGCAUUGUAAGCCCCCUAAACCUUCUGAAGACCCCUUACCAAUCUUUUUCUGUAUUGGCUUCUAUCAUUCCAAAUUUUUUGCUUCUGUUGAUAUUGACAAUGAAUUAUAUACCCCCUUAAGCACUAUAUUCCCACUGCCUUGCAUGUGGAAAGUGUUUAA